GACGAACGCUGGCGGCGUGCCUAAUACAUGCAAGUCGAGCGAGCGGAACUAACAGAUUUACUUCGGUAAUGACGUUAGGAAAGCGAGCGGCGGAUGGGUGAGUAACACGUGGGGAACCUGCCCCAUAGUCUGGGAUACCACUUGGAAACAGGUGCUAAUACCGGAUAAGAAAGCAGAUCGCAUGAUCAGCUUUUAAAAGGCGGCGUAAGCUGUCGCUAUGGGAUGGCCCCGCGGUGCAUUAGCUAGUUGGUAAGGUAAAGGCUUACCAAGGCGAUGAUGCAUAGCCGAGUUGAGAGACUGAUCGGCCACAUUGGGACUGAGACACGGCCCAAACUCCUACGGGAGGCAGCAGUAGGGAAUCUUCCACAAUGGACGCAAGUCUGAUGGAGCAACGCCGCGUGAGUGAAGAAGGUUUUCGGAUCGUAAAGCUCUGUUGUCGGUGAAGAAGGAUAGAGGUAGUAACUGGCCUUUAUUUGACGGUAAUCAACCAGAAAGUCACGGCUAACUACGUGCCAGCAGCCGCGGUAAUACGUAGGUGGCAAGCGUUGUCCGGAUUUAUUGGGCGUAAGGCGAGCGCAGGCGGAAGAAUAAGUCUGAUGUGAAAGCCCUCGGCUUAACCGAGGAACUGCAUCGGAAACUGUUUUUCUUGAGUGCAGAAGAGGAGAGUGGAACUCCAUGUGUAGCGGUGGAAUGCGUAGAUAUAUGGAAGAACACCAGUGGCGAAGGCGGCUCUCUGGUCUGCAACUGACGCUGAGGCUCGAAAGCAUGGGUAGCGAACAGGAUUAGAUACCCUGGUAGUCCAUGCCGUAAACGAUGAGUGCUAAGUGUUGGGAGGUUUCCGCCUCUCAGUGCUGCAGCUAACGCAUUAAGCACUCCGCCUGGGGAGUACGACCGCAAGGUUGAAACUCAAAGGAAUUGACGGGGGCCCGCACAAGCGGUGGAGCAUGUGGUUUAAUUCGAAGCAACGCGAAGAACCUUACCAGGUCUUGACAUCUAGUGCCAUUUGUAGAGAUACAAAGUUCCCUUCGGGGACGCUAAGACAGGUGGUGCAUGGCUGUCGUCAGCUCGUGUCGUGAGAUGUUGGGUUAAGUCCCGCAACGAGCGCAACCCUUGUUAUUAGUUGCCAGCAUUAAGUUGGGCACUCUAAUGAGACUGCCGGUGACAAACCGGAGGAAGGUGGGGAUGACGUCAAGUCAUCAUGCCCCUUAUGACCUGGGCUACACACGUGCUACAAUGGGCAGUACAACGAGAAGCGAGCCUGCGAAGGCAAGCGAAUCUCUGAAAGCUGUUUUCAGUUCGGACUGCAGUCUGCAACUCGACUGCACGAAGCUGGAAUCGCUAGUAAUCGCGGAUCAGCACGCCGCGGUGAAUACGUUCCCGGGCCU
rnacentral:rRNA from 1 species